rnacentral:misc_RNA from 1 species
CUUCUGCAGAUAUAAUUAGAUGGACUGGUGGAAACGGAAUUCCAGUGUUCAGAGACUAUAUUGUGAUGCUGCCUAAUCUAAGCCGCAAGAAGAACAACCUCUCUGUUUCUCUUCGUCCCAAGGGCAAAUCAGACCCAAUCCUGAAUGGAUUGGAGUUGUUCAAGAUCAACAAUACAGAUGGCAAUCUUUGUGGACACAACGCUAAAGCUUUCAUUGCUGCAGCUAUACCUAGACCACCAGAUAAGCUAGCUAAGAAAUCCAAGAACACGAAGACAAAAAUCGUUGUAAUUAUUGUUGGAGUUACAACUGUAGUGAUCAUAGUGUUACUGCUUGUGGGCUUCACAAUUUGCUGGCAUUGGAAAAGAGCAAGAUUCGAUGAGGAGAAUAUGAAACCUCAGCCAGAAGGAAUUUGCCGCCGGUUUGCAGCUGAAGAGAUCAGAAAUGCCACCAACAACUUUGACAGAGCUCUGGUAAUCGGUGAUGGUGGGUUUGGUAGAGUAUUCAAAGGUAACAUUGAUAGUGAAAAUACACCAGUAGCCGUCAAGGCUCUGAAGCCAACUUCAAGCCAAGGGUCUCGGGAGUUCUGGGCAGAGAUUGAAAUGCUUUCAAAGCUCCGUCAUCCGCACUUAGUGUCUCUGGUCGGAUACUGCAAUGAUGAACGGCUUAUGAUCCUCGUCUACGACUACAUGGCCCAAGGAACACUCCGUGAUCAUCUUUAUCAUACGCAUAAUCCUCCAUUGUCCUGGAAACAAAGGCUAGAGAUUUGCAUUGGUGCUGCUUAUGGCAUAAAAUACCUUCACACAGGUGCAGAGCAUAGUAUCAUCCAUCGGGAUAUCAAGAGCUCCAACAUUUUACUUGAUGAGAAGUGGGUCCCCAAGGUUUCUGAUUUUGGACUCUCCAGAUUGGGCCCUACAAGCAUGUCUCGCAGCCACGUCACCACAGAUGUGAAGGGUACAUUUGGGUAUUUAGAUCCUGAGUACUAUUUUACCAAUCAUCUGAGUGUAAAAUCUGAUGUUUUUAGUUUUGGGGUAUUGUUAUUCGAAGUAUUGUGUGCCAGACCAGCAGUGGAUAUGAGGCUAGAGGAGGAGCAACAUAGCUUGGUUCUGUGGGCCAGGACGCAUGUUAAAGAAGGAACCCUUGAUCAGAUUAUUGAUCCCAGUCUGACAGGUAAAAUUGCGCCAGAGAGUUUGAAGGUGUACGCAACAAUUGCAGCCAAGUGCUUGCGAGAGCACAGAAAUGAAAGGCCUACAAUGUCAAAGGUGUUGAGGAAACUUGAGCUUGCAUUGAG